rnacentral:rRNA from 1 species
GAAUGUUGGGUUAGUCCCGCACGAGCGCAACCCUUGUUACCAGUUGCUACCAUUCAGUUGAGCACUCUGGUGAGACCGCCUCGGAUAACGGGGAGGAAGGCGGGGAUGACGUCAAGUCCUCAUGGCCUUUAUGUCCAGGGCUACACACGUGCUACAAUGGCCGGUACAAACCGUUGCAACCCCGCGAGGGUGAGCUAAUCGGAGAAAGCCGGCCUCAGUUCGGAUUGGAGUCUGCAACUCGACUCCAUGAAGCUGGAAUCGCUAGUAAUCGCGGAUCAGCAUGCCGCGGUGAAUACGUUCCCGGGCCUUGUACACACCGCCCGU